rnacentral:rRNA from 1 species
GCGGAAAAAUAAGUCUAAUGUGAAAGCCCUCGGCUUAACCGAGGAACUGCAUCGGAAACUGUUUUUCUUGAGUGCAGAAGAGGAGAGUGGAACUCCAUGUGUAGCGGUGGAAUGCGUAGAUAUAUGGAAGAACACCAGUGGCGAAGGCGGCUCUCUGGUCUGCAACUGACGCUGAGGCUCGAAAGCAUGGGUAGCGAACAGGAUUAGAUACCCUGGUAGUCCAUGCCGUAAACGAUGAGUGCUAAGUGUUGGGAGGUUUCCGCCUCUCAGUGCUGCAGCUAACGCAUUAAGCACUCCGCCUGGGAGUACGACCGCAAGGUUGAAACUCAAAGGAAUUGACGGGGGCCCGCACAAGCGGUGGAGCAUGUGGUUUAAUUCGACGCAACGCGAAGAACCUUACCAGGUCUUGACAUCUAGUGCAAUCUGUAGAGAUACGGAGUUCCCUUCGGGGACGCUAAGACAGGUGGUGCAUGGCUGUCGUCAGCUCGUGUCGUGAGAUGUUGGGUUAAGUCCCGCAACGAGCGCAACCCUUGUUAUUAGUUGCCAGCAUUAAGUUGGGCACUCUAAUGAGACUGCCGGUGACAAACCGGAGGAAGGUGGGGAUGACGUCAAGUCAUCAUGCCCCUUAUGACCUGGGCUACACACGUGCUACAAUGGGCAGUACAACGAGAAGCAAGCCUGCGAAGGCAAGCGAAUCUCUGAAAGCUGUUCUCAGUUCGGACUGCAGUCUGCAACUCGACUGCACGAAGCUGG